UACGGGGGGGGCAAGCGUUGUUCGGAAUUACUGGGCGUAAAGGGCUCGUAGGUGGCCAACUAAGUCAGACGUGAAAUCCCUCGGCUUAACCGGGGAACUGCGUCUGAUACUGGAUGGCUUGAGUUUGGGAGAGGGAUGCGGAAUUCCAGGUGUAGCGGUGAAAUGCGUAGAUAUCUGGAGGAACACCGGUGGCGAAGGCAGCCAUCUGGACCGACACUGACGCUGAGGCGCGAAAGCGUGGGGAGCAAACAGG
rnacentral:rRNA from 1 species